AGAUGCGAGAGUAGAGCAUAUCAAUAAGCGGAGGAAAAGAAACUAACAAGGAUUCCCUUAGUAACGGCGAGUGAAGCGGGAAGAGCUUAAAUUUGAAAUCUUCAAGGUUUUACCUUGACGAAUUGUAGUUUAAAGAAGUGUUUUCUGUUGGAGUUUUGGUAAAAGUUCUUUGGAAUAGGACAUCAUAGAGGGUGAGAAUCCCGUAUUUGACCAUUAUUUCCAGCUGUGUGAUACACUUUCAAAGAGUCGGAUUGUUUGGGAAUGCAGUCCAAAAUGGGUGGUAAAUUUCAUCUAAAGCUAAAUAUUGGCGAGAGACCGAUAGCGAACAAGUACCGUGAGGGAAAGAUGAAAAGAACUUUGAAAAGAGAGUUAAACAGUACGUGAAAUUGUCAAAAGGGAAGCGUUUGACACCAGUGUUGUUUUCUCGAAAAUCAAUUAAAAAUGAUGGGAUUUUGUGUUGUAUUGACUUUAUCAGCUUUCUGCACUUUUUUCUUAUCUUUUUUAAUGCACUUUUCGUUUAACAAGUCAACAUCAAUUUCUUUUGUUGUAAAAGAGUACAUGGAAGGUGGCUUUUCUUUCGGAAAAGUGUUUAUAGCCUUGGGACCUCUGCAAUCGGAGAGAUUGAGGUCUGCAGCGUAGAUCCUUCGGGGUUAGAUACAUUUGUGCUAAGUUAUAGUCUUUCAUAGACAACUUGUUGACUAUAAUUAAUCCUUGUAACUUACUCGCUUAUGCUAUUUUACCUACGCUUAGGAUGUUGACACACGCGCGUGCUCG
rnacentral:rRNA from 1 species